UCCUCCACCUUUGUGGUUUUUUAAUUUUUUUCAAAAUUGUUUUCCUCUUCUUCAUCCCUGGCAUUUCUAUGUAAAUGUUAUGAUUAACUUGUCAAUUUCCACUAAAAAAAAUAGGCAGAUCAGUUUUUGGCAGGAUUGCAUUGAACCUAGAGAUUAACUUGGGGAAGACUGUCAUCUUCACAAUAUUAAGUCUUCCAAUCCAUAAACAUGGCUUGUCUUCCCAUCUAUAAGCUAAGCAGGUUGCUCUGGUGAGAGCCUCUAGCACAAUGUGGACACAUGAAAUCCACAUGGCCUUCCUCAAAGAAUAUCAAAAUCCUAAGGGGCCUUGUUUGGGAAGGGACGCCCCAGCAAGGGGACGUUCUUCCCUUCCCAGCCCACCGCAUCCUGCUGCCGCCUUCUCCCUCCACUCCGCCCGGGCACGUGCUGCUGAGAUGAAAAGCACGUCUCCCCGCAGCAGCCAAAAAUAACAAACACAGAGAAAAAGCAACUGAAAACUGGGAGAGGAAGCAGGAUUCUGCAUCCUGACUGAUAACAUCCUCAAAAUCAAGGCCACAAAGACACAUUGGCACGGCCAUCCGUGGAGCUUGGGGGAUACCCAGGACCAGGUUGACCAAUGGGAGAAGGUCCCCACCCUGCAGGGUCAUCAGUUCAAGUCCCAUAAUUUUGUGCCUCCUAUUGAAGGAAUGUCGGUGUCCUUCCUGUAAACAGGUAAAAGCUCUACAAAUUCCUUGGGCCAUGUAUUUAUUUAACAAAUAUGAACUGAGAUUUCGCUGUGCCUGAGAUACACCGGUGGAUGCACAAGUCCCAGCCGAGGGAAGGGCACCUGGCAGUUAGGAUGUUUGCUGGAACUCACCUACCUCUUACCUUCUUUCUUCUGGCCUGUCUACUCCUUGCUCCCUUCCUCUAGCCACAUACUGUCGGCACCUGCCUUUGCCCAGGGCCUUUGCCUCUCCCCCUCCUGGCCCCAAAAGGAAAGCGUGAUGAAAUGGCCAUGGACCAGCACCUGCCUCGUUCUUGCCUGGGUGGGUUCUCUCAAGCGAGACAAGGAACUCUGAGUGUCCCAGCUCGUGCAGGGAUAGACACCUUAUCCUAUUUCGGAUCCGGGAUUUCUGUGCCGAUCAAAUAAUAUUCUGCCUGUGACACUGCCUUAUAGACUGCAAAGUAUUAUUCGAAUGUCACAAGCGCUAGUGAAGUGUGGCUUUGCUUCUCCCACGCUUUUCUAUUACUCCUGACAUUUCAAAUAUAGUAUUCCUCCUAUUUCAAAAUACUUGAUCUGUAAGUGGCCCUUAGUCCUGAUUCUUCCCUGACUUGGAUCACAGGAAAUUGCUCCUUGGGACUUUCUCACCAGGAAGGAAAGGAGGCUUUCCUUUCAUUUCCAGGCUGGAACCAGCUCCAAGCACUUCCUCCCCACCCUUCCCUCCAAACCCGGGUCGCAGACGCCCCCUGGUGGAAAUCAGGAGCAACUGUCUGGGAAACACCUCAUCUGUCCCCGGCCAGACACAAAGGCCCAGCGGAGGCGUCAGGUUGAAUUCAGGGGUGUCAGAAC